rnacentral:lncRNA from 1 species
UUCAGGUUAUUCAUUACUUGGAUGCUCUUUCACGAGCUUCCUUUUCCAUUCAUUAAGGAGAAUGCUUGAUUUCUUUAUUUGCUUUGUAUCUCUAUGCCAUUAGAUGUUGGAUCUGUUUUUGAUAGUUCUGUGUGUACUUAGUUGUUGGGUUUUCAGCCACAAAUGACCAAAAGCAUUGUAAGUCAUCAAGGAUUUCCAUUAUUUUAGAUUAUUGUUUUUAAGUGCCUUUUCCUCAUGUCUUUGCAUAAAUCUUGCCUUUCAUUUUUCUUUUGCUAGAGUACGAGUUUUUCAUUAAAAUUUUGCUAAUUUUGUUCUGAGGGGAUUGGCUUGUGUAUCUGAUAGGAUGGCAUUUUGAGGAUAUAAUAUAAAUUAUAGUAGAAUUAGUGCUCCACCAAAAUGGCUUUUCUUCCCUUCUUUCCUGCCAUUCAAGAGGUUUUUUUAUUGUCAAUGGAGCUUUUUUCUUCCUUUCUUGUACCUUUUGGCUAGCUUUCGUGGUACAGUUUAGUAGUACAAAAUGCAAUAAAUCUCUUGGUAAAACUUCUUAGUUAUAUAUUCCAUGAAUCUGAACUGUACAAGCUAACCAAUUGCUUUCAACCCUAUGUCAAUUUUCGCUAAAUUACAAGAUCUAGCAUAAUUUUACUGAUCUGAUUGUUUCAAUUCGGCUGGUCAAAUCUUUUCUUAUUGGAUGGGAUAAUCUAAAAUUUAGAAAUCGUAUGCAGGCGUGGAAGAUAUUUGGCAAUGGAUGGACUAAAAUUGUAAGAGUUGUUUUAGGCAGGUAACGGGAAUUAAUUCAUGGUAAAUGAUCUACUUAUUUAGCGUUUUAAUAUUUGCCUUGCGUUAAUGCCUAGAUGUUUGAACAUCCAUUUAAGCCAUUGGCAAUUUGCGAUUGAUUAAGCAAAAUCUAUGCAAGCUUAAAAAAAUAUGUUUGCAACUCCUGUUUUUAAGUGCCAUGAGUCUCUAAUUAUUGAUUCUGUCUAACCGUAUAGAAAAAAGGAACUAAUAAAAUAGCUAUAUUUGCAUUACCAGAUUGCUAUAAGUAAGAGUAGCAUGCUAGAGAAGUCAAUGGAAUUCCUUCCCUAAGAUACUUGCAUCUUGUGUCUUACAUGUAUAUUAUAGUAUAACUCAUCCAAGAAUAGUCUACUUCUAUGCUGGGGAACAUUUAUGAUACUUGGAGAUUACUUUUGAUGUCAUUUUCUGAAGAUAACAUAAUACUACAGCUUUUUGCUGAUAUUUGUCACUCUCAGGUGCUCCAAGAGAGCUCUAACAUUUAUUUUUGCAGUAAAUUAUGGGAUUGUAUUAUUGUACCUUUUAGGUUGAUUAAUGGAAUUUUCUGAAGAUAACAUAAUAUUGCUUUUUGCUGAUAUUUGUCACUCUCAGGUGCUCCAAGAGAGCUCUAACAUUUAUUUUUGCAGUGAAUUAUGGGAUUGUAUUAUUGUACCUUUUAGGUUGAUUAAUGGAUGCUUCUUACUCUUUUGACCGUUGCAUCUUUUUUUGAAAUUCCAUAAGUUUUUUGAGAUGCCUAGACAUGAAUCAUAUAUUUGGUUUCUUUUCCAUCCGGUUGUUUCUUUCUUCUUUUUUUAAAGUGAUUAUUAUUUUAUUUAGUACUUACUGGUGAAGUCACAUAAAUUAGGUAACUUGAAUUUGAAUCCGAUGGCAAAUUU